AGAGUCCGUUGUUGUUGUUGUUGUUUCGGAAAUCAGGGUUUGUUCAACCCCAUCCGAUCUCCACAACGUUCAGAGUCCGUUACCGAGUUUUAAAACUCCGUAUGCACAACCCCACGUUCUCGACGUGAGGGGGAACCCUUACAAAACAGUUUCUCAGGCGACAGUCUGUAUAACUAAAACUACCGUGAAGGUCCCUCAAAAUAGGCCCUUUCAUAUAGUACCCGGGAUACUAUAGGCUAACAGAUUACCUGUCCGUACGUCUCAACCUCAGAAUAAGAGAUUACUUCUUGAAGUCUGUAGGUUUACAACAGUGACAUCUCUUGAAGAUGCUAGUGACCCCAACAGGAUCUAAACACAAUAGUACCCAACUACCCUCGAACAGACGUACCUACUUCCCUCUACCCCGACCCUCCUACAAAUUCAGGUGGUACUUCCCCUCACAAGGGUGCCCACGAGAUUCUGCUUACUAUUAACUAGAUACGUCACCCGAACUUGCAAAUUAUCUCCUCGUUGAAAUAGGAGAUUUCUAACUUGAAUUACUGUAAACACACGCGGCCGUCCCGGUUUCCCCUUAAGGUAACGAGAUGUAGUUAUCUCAACUUUUCAACAGUCGAAAACUACCUUCCGCAGCCGUCCCCUUCGAUACCCCCCUAUAAUCUUCUCGAGACUUCCUUCACAUGUUCGUCCGAGGUCGCCCAUAACUAGGUUAACGGGUUUCCAAGUAGUUGAUACAACCUCACUUUCUGCAGUCACGUGACGUCCCAAAGGACCUGGAGACCCUGAUAGCUUCCUUCCGAUCUAAAAACGAGAGAUAUUAAAGUUUACUGUAAAGUCUCUAGGAUCUGGUAGUCCUUUUCUGUGCGCCUCGCCAGAUAUCCUGUUGGUCGGCCAUACUGAUGAAUUCUGAGACAUUCCUACGGUAGUUUGUGACCGGACAAUACGGACCAAGACAGUUCCCACUGACACGAUGAAACCUCGCUAAAUAACUGUUCUACCUCUCCACCUUGGGUGACUAGACCACGAUAGAGAUGCUUCGGUGACGUAAUUUGUUGCCCUUGCAGUUUUGAACAGCCCACACCACAGGUGGUACCUGCCACAGUUGUCCGCGCUCCUCCAAUGGACCCGAUGCCUGCCUAGGCUCCCUUUUAAUU
rnacentral:rRNA from 1 species